GGUAGAGUAAAAGCCUACCAAGGUUACGAUCCGUAGCUGGUCUGAGAGGAUGAUCAGCCACACUGGGACUGAGAUACGGCCCAGACUCCUACGGGAGGCAGCAGUGGGGAAUAUUGGACAAUGGGGGAAACCCUGAUCCAGUCAUGCCGCGUGUGUGAUGAAGGCCUUUGGGUUGUAAAGCACUUUCAGCGAGGAAGAAAAAUUAUAAACGAAAAAGUUAUAAGUAUGACGGUACUCGCAGAAGAAGCACCGGCUAACUCCGUGCCAGCAGCCGCGGUAAAACGGAGGGUGCAAGCGUUAAUCAGAAUUACUGGGCGUAAAGGGCAUGUAGGUGGUUUGUUAAGCUUUAUUUGAAAUCCCUAUGCUUAACAUAGGAACUGGAUAAAGAACUGACAAACUAGAGUGCAGAAGAGGAAGGUAGAAUUCCAGGUGUAGCGGUGAAAUGCGUAGAUAUCUGGAGGAAUACCAGUGGCGAAGGCGACCUUCUGGGCUGACACUGACACUGAGAUGCGAAAGCGUGGGGAGCAAACAGGAUUAGAUACCCUGGUAGUCCAUGCUGUAAACGAUAUCAACUAGCCGUUUGAUUCUUAAAGAAUUUUGUGGCGUAGCUAACGCGAUAAGUUGAUCGCCUGGGGAGUACGGUCGCAAGGCUAAAACUCAAAUGAAUUGACGGGGGCCCGCACAAGCGGUGGAGCAUGUGGUUUAAUUCGAUGCAACGCGCAGAACCUUACCUACUCUUGACAUCCAAAGUACUUUCCAGAGAUGGAAGGGUGCCUUAGGGAACUUUGAGACAGGUGCUGCAUGGCUGUCGUCAGCUCGUGUUGUGAAAUGUUGGGUUAAGUCCCGUAACGAGCGCAACCCUUGUCCUUAGUUGCCAACGCGUAAGGCGGGAACUUUAAGGAGACUGCUGGUGAUAAACCC
rnacentral:rRNA from 1 species